ACUCCUACGGGAGGCAGCAGUGGGGAAUCUUGCGCAAUGGGCGAAAGCCUGACGCAGCCAUGCCGCGUGGAUGAUGAAGGUCUUAGGAUUGUAAAAUCCUUUCACCGGGGACGAUAAUGACGGUACCCGGAGAAGAAGCCCCGGCUAACUUCGUGCCAGCAGCCGCGGUAAUACGAAGGGGCUAGCGUUGCUCGGAAUUACUGGGGCGUAAAGGGCGCGUAGGCGGACAGUUAAGUUGGGGGUGAAAGCCCGGGGCUCAACCUCGGAAAUGCCUUCAAUACUGGCUGUCUUGAGUACGGGAGAGGUGAGUGGAACUCCGAGUGUAGAGGUGAAAUUCGUAGAUAUUCGGAAGAACACCAGUGGCGAAGGCGACUCACUGGCCCGUUACUGACGCUGAGGCGCGAAAGCGUGGGGAGCAAACAGGAUUAGAUACCCUGGUAGGAUAGCG
rnacentral:rRNA from 1 species